AAAUUUGGACUUAUUAUUAGACAAAUUUCAAAAAGUUCCAUAAUCGGGUACCGUCAUGAGUACUUGAAGUUUUUUAUAAUUCAUUUCAUAUCAAUUAAUUCAAAUAUAAAAAAAGAACAGUAGUCCAAAGUAAUGAAAUAUUAGUAGUUACCCUCGUACUCACACCCACAGCCAGAGAAUGCGAUAAACUACACAACAAACUCAUAUGUUUUGCGUUUGACAGCGUUUUAAAGUGGCGGUUGCCUCCACUCUCCCCAAUAUCGGUGUCGAUGUCGCAGAACUGUCGUUAUCACUCUCGUGCCUGAGGAAUUGCUGCGAUAACGCCUGCGCGCAUAAACAACAACCAACGCUGCCGCUUUUUGACUGCAGCUUUAAGUGAUAAGACGCUCGCUAGUAGUACUCGUAUACUCGUGGCUGCAACGCUUGCUAAUGCUAUGUGUAGAGCAUAAAGAACACCCAAAAACAUAGCUAAUGUAUAUGUACGACAUAUGCGUUGGUGUUUGAUGCGCUAUCAGUUUGAAUUCUUUAAAUUGUUCGGAAAGGUUCUCUUUUUGGUUGUUUUUGUGUGAAAGCGAUUUUCUGCAGUACAUUGCGUACGAUAGCUCUUCAAGUGGUAGUGCAAGUGAUAAUUUAAAAAUAUAUUUUUACGUUUUUUGAUAAUUUGGAAAGCAUUUCAAGAUUUUUUUUCGAGCUUGACACAUUUGACUCAGCAAUUUUUUAAAUCUGCCAGGGAAAAAAACAAAAAAAAACUUGAUUUUGGUGAUCAAUAAACCAAUCAUUUAAGGGAUCACUCAUAUUACGGGUGGUAUUGACCAAAUAUGACCUUUAGGUUAGUUUGGAUAAAGAUACGGGGUUGAUUCUCACCAAAAAGGUCGCGAAGGAUACCACUUGGACAGCUAAAGAACGCUGGUUUUUUUGUAAUGACAAGAACUAUUAAGUGUAGAUGAAAAGCCCAGCUUGUUUUGACGAAGGGCUUUGGUUUGUCACUAAUUGCUUGAGACGUCUAAUGCAAAUUCCAGUAAACUCUUCCGAUUCGCCGAAUAUAUAACUACCGAGAUGUUUCAACAUCAAUCAGCAGUAUUUGGACCGGGGAAAUGAAAGCGCUUAGUAGUUCAAUAGUCCUCUUACAUUUCAGUGUUGACCAGAAGAAUCUCACAGCCGCACAAGGUCUGGUUGUUUACCAAAAUUGUCCAAGCUAUCGAGAGAUCCACAAAUCCUUCGUUGUGCAAGAGGACAACGGAACACUGACUCAUUUUCUGUUUGAUAAAUUGGGCAAGACUCCCCGUAUUGCAAGCUUAACAGCUUUGAAAUUUCCAGCGAAUCCGUUAUGAUCAGUUAAAUGUUUUAAAAUUACUUUUUAAAUUAGAGCGGCCUACAUUAUAAAUACAUACAUACAUACAUAUACGAGUAUAUGUAGAACGACCGUAGACCCAGUUGGACUAGUCGGCCGCACACAGCACUUUGGGAUUAUCGAAUUCGUCGAAAAUUGUAUUACUAGCAACAGUUUUUUAAAGGUAUCAUUAAAUAGGUGAUUUUAGGCAAGGUGGGUCGCUCAUAUUCUGUUUCUGGAGUCCUUGAAAUAUUAUAGCCCCAUACAUUAUCUGGAUCUACCUUGAAAAGUUACCCAAUUCGUCGAAUUUUUGUUCUGAGUUUAUCUUACAUCACAAUAUGCCAAGGUAAAUCGAUGAAGCUAAAUUACUGUACUGUUCGGUAAAAUAUCAAAAACAGUUACUUGUUAUUACCGUUGUAUCUUAAUCCAAUAAACUGUAAUAGUUCAAGAUAUAAAUUUGUAACUUUAUUGAAUAAAAGUUGUUGAGAAAUAUGUUAAACA